UCGGGAAUUUUGGGCAAUGGGGGAAACCCUGACCCAGCAACGCCGCGUGAAGGAUGAAGUAUUUCGGUAUGUAAACUUCGAAAGAAUAGGAAGAAUAAAUGACGGUACUAUUUAUAAGGUCCGGCUAACUACGUGCCAGCAGCCGCGGUAAUACGUAGGGACCAAGCGUUGUUCGGAUUUACUGGGCGUAAAGGGCGCGUAGGCGGCUUGACAAGUCACUUGUGAAAUCUCUGGGCUUAACCCAGAACGGCCAAGUGAAACUGUCAUGCUAGAGUGCAGAAGGGGCAAUCGGAAUUCUUGGUGUAGCGGUGAAAUGCGUAGAUAUCAAGAGGAACACCUGAGGUGAAGACGGGUUGCUGGGCUGACACUGACGCUGAGGCGCGAAAGCCAGGGGAGCAAACGGGAUUAGAUACCCCCGUAGUCCCUGAGCGGGCUGGCAAGGCGCAU
rnacentral:rRNA from 1 species